rnacentral:sRNA from 1 species
AAGGGCUUGAGGGGAGGGUGCCUGGGGCUGGGAAGGAUGGUCUUGUGGGGCUGUGGCUGCCUUCAGGUCACACUCUGGGUCUUUGUGGCAGGAACUGGCAGCUGCUGAGCGUGCCAAGCGCCAGGCCCAGCAGGAGCGGGAUGAGCUGGCUGACGAGAUCGCCAACAGCAGCGGCAAAGGAGCCCUGGCGUUAGAGGAGAAGCGGCGUCUGGAGGCCCGCAUCGCCCAGCUGGAGGAGGAGCUGGAGGAGGAGCAGGGCAACACGGAGCUGAUCAACGACCGGCUGAAGAAGGCCAACCUGCAGAUCGACCAGAUCAACACCGACCUGAACCUGGAGCGCAGCCACGCCCAGAAGAACGAGAAUGCUCGGCAGCAGCUGGAACGCCAGAACAAGGAGCUUAAGGUCAAGCUGCAGGAGAUGGAGGGCACUGUCAAGUCCAAGUACAAGGCUUCCAUCACCGCCCUCGAGGCCAAGAUCGCACAGCUGGAGGAGCAGCUGGACAACGAGACCAAGGAGCGCCAGGCAGCCUGCAAACAGGUGCGUCGGACCGAGAAGAAGCUGAAGGAUGUGCUGCUGCAGGUGGAUGACGAGCGGAGGAACGCCGAGCAGUACAAGGACCAGAGCCCCUAACCGGGGCCACGGGCCACACGUCCAUCUCCGCAGGCCGACAAGGCAUCUACCCGCCUGAAGCAGCUCAAGCGGCAGCUGGAGGAGGCCGAAGAGGAGGCCCAGCGGGCCAACGCCUCCCGCCGGAAACUGCAGCGCGA